rnacentral:rRNA from 1 species
AAAUGAAUAGACGGGGGCCCGCACAAGCAGUGGAUUAUGUGGUUUAAUUCGAAGCAACGCGAAGAACCUUACCAGGUCUUGACAUCCAACGGCCGGCAUAGAGAUAUGCCUUUCCUUCGGGACGUUGAGACAGGUGGUGCAUGGUUGUCGUCAGCUCGUGUCGUGAGAUGUUGGGUUAAGUCCCGCAACGAGCGCAACCCUUACUGUUAGUUGCUACGCAAGAGCACUCUAACGGGACUGCCGUUGACAAAACGGAGGAAGGUGGGGACGACGUCAAAUCAUCAUGCCCUUUAUGACCUGGGCUACACACGUAAUACAAUGGCGCGAAACAAUGGGAAGCAAGACCGCGAGGUGGAGCAAACCCCCAAAAAGCGUCUCAGUUCGGAUCGCAGGCUGCAACUCGCCUGCGUGAAGUCGGAAUUGCUAGUAAUCGUGGAUCAUCAUGCCACGGUGAAUACGUUCCCGGGCCUUGUACACACCGCCCGU